UUCUUACCUCAGUUGUGUAGUUGUGUUAAAGGUUUCACUUCCUCAAACUUAGCACAGAACUUCUCUUUCUUUUGGGAGUUAAUCAGAGAAAGAGACAGAGGGAGACACAGAGAUAGCAUCAUCAACACAAUCUGUUCGGAAGCCAUCUGCAGAAGAGGAGCUUGCAGCUAAAGAGAGUCUUUCAAUUUAUUGCAAGCCCGUAGAACUCUAGAACAUUAUUCAGUCACAUGUUAUGGGAAAUCCAUUAUUCCUUAAGAGAUGUUUGCGCUACAAGAUAGAGGCGAAGCGCAAGAAGAGAAUACAAAUGACAGUUUUGUUCGCGAGGCGUAUUACUGAAAAACAAAAUGUGUUUCCAAUUUAUGUAUGCCUUGCAAGGCGGAUUUCUGAUGAUGGAACUUCAAGGCACUCUGCCGUUUAUCAAAUCGGUCGGAUUUUCAUCUUUCGAAAUUCCCCUGGAAUUGAUUUGAAUACUCAAGUCCAAGCAAAUUUUACACUCCCUGAAAUCAAUAAGUUAGCUGAGGAAGCUAAAUCUGACUCACUUGUUAUCUUGUUCAUCAGCACUCUCACUGGGGGAAACUCAAAUUUAUCUUCCGGAGUCGAUUCAAACUCAAUGCCUUCUGAUUUGAGUCAUCUGGCUUUAUUUGAAUCUGGAAAAUACUGCCUUUGUGGGAAAGUAUCUUUGGAAUCAAUUUAUCUGAUUUUGAAGCACAUGCCAAAUUUUCGUUUGGGACAGAGCGUUAGUAUUAUGUCAAAUGUGGAUUUGCUUCCAUGUAUUCUGAAGUCAGAUUUUCUAAAUGAGGGCACAAGAAUCUCCAUUCAAAUUCCCUCUAAUUUUGAGAAUAUGGGUACAUCAAAGCAAUUACAAAUCUCAAUUUCUGCUGAAGAAUUUGGGGCCAAAGAACAAUCUCCCUACCUUUCAUCCGGCAUGCAGUGAAGUACAGUUCUCAUCAUUAUCUCAUAUGAUUGGAAGCUACAGAUCCUAAAAGGAACAUGGUUGCAGAUUUCACGGAUCCUUUCUUUGUACGUCCAAAUGAAAAUCCUGGUUUAGUGUUGAUAUCCUCUUUGUUGAAUGGUGAAAAUUACCACCAAUGGUCAAGAUCAAUGAAGAUGUGUCUCAAAUCGAAGAAUAAACUUCAAUUCAUCGAUGGAUCGUUACCAAAACCAGCGAAUGAUGAUUCAAAAUUCUUGGCCUGGGAUCAGUGCAAUACUUUGGUAUUAUCUUGGAUCCUUCAUUCUCUAGAUUCUUCAAUCGCACAAAGUGUACUAUGAUGGACAAUGCUGCUAAAGUAUGUAACGAUCUCCGCGACAGAUACUAUCAAGGUGAUGCCUUCCGCAUUUGUGAGUUGCAGGAGGAAAUCUAUUUACACAAACAAGGCAACUCUUCCAUAACUACAUACUUUACUCAUCUCAAAGGAUUGUGGCAAGAACUUAAUAACUCUAGACCAAUCCCUUCAUGCACCUGCAAGGUGAACAACAUGUUAUUUAUCUUAACAUGAAAUGGAGAAAGAUUAAGUCACACAAACCCUUGAUACAUUUGGUUCUAGCAUCAAUGUUAUCCUUUCAGUAUUUGAGUGCAUCAAUGGGUGAUGUGUCGUGAAUAGUUUGUGACAAUCACUUGGAUAGUUGAAUUACUUGCUAACAUUUACUGCUAGCAAUUUGCUGAUCUGUUUAGAAAAUGAAUUGGUGAACAAAUUAAACUCAACUGCCAUAUAUUUAUUCAUAUCUAAUAUUUGUACUA